AGAUCUACCCAUCUAUGGAGCGAAAGCCACACUAAACGUCUGGAACCCAGUUUGAGUCAGGGGACGACUUCAGUUUGGCGCAGAUCUGGGUCACGUCUGGAAGUUACGAAAACCAAGACCUCAACACGCUUGAGACGGGUUGGCAGGUUUACCCGAACAAAUAUGGCGAUCACCAACCUAGACUGUUCACAUAUUGGACCAGCGAUGACUAUCUUAGCAGCGGGUGUUACAACCACUAUGGUAGAGGGUUUGUACAUGUCAACAGACAUGUCGCCCUAGGAGGAGCAAUCGCCGGGACUUCGACUAUUGGGGGAGACCAAUUCGAUAUAACCUUGCAGAUUUGGAAGG